ACAGGCUUAACACAUGCAAGUCGAGGGGAAACGACAUCGAAAGCUUGCUUUUGAUGGGCGUCGACCGGCGCACGGGUGAGUAACGCGUAUCCAACCUGCCCAUCACUUGGGGAUAACCUUGCGAAAGUAAGACUAAUACCCAAUGACGUCUCUAGAAGACAUCUGAAAGGAAUUAAAGAUUUAUCGGUGAUGGAUGGGGAUGCGUCUGAUUAGCUUGUUGGCGGGGUAACGGCCCACCAAGGCGACGAUCAGUAGGGGUUCUGAGAGGAAGGUCCCCCACAUUGGAACUGAGACACGGUCCAAACUCCUACGGGAGGCAGCAGUGAGGAAUAUUGGUCAAUGGGCGAGAGCCUGAACCAGCCAAGUAGCGUGCAGGAUGACGGCCCUAUGGGUUGUAAACUGCUUUUAUAAGGGAAUAAAGUGAGUCUCGUGAGACUUUUUGCAUGUACCUUAUGAAUAAGGACCGGCUAAUUCCGUGCCAGCAGCCGCGGUAAUACGGAAGGUCCGGGCGUUAUCCGGAUUUAUUGGGUUUAAAGGGAGCGUAGGCCGGAGAUUAAGCGUGUUGUGAAAUGUAGACGCUCAACGUCUGCACUGCAGCGCGAACUGGUUUCCUUGAGUACGCACAAGGUGGGCGGAAUUCGUGGUGUAGCGGUGAAAUGCUUAGAUAUCACGAAGAACUCCGAUUGCGAAGGCAGCUCACUGGAGCGCAACUGACGCUGAAGCUCGAAAGUGCGGGUAUCGAACAGGAUUAGAUACCCUGGUAGUCCGCACGGUAAACGAUGGAUGCCCGCUGUUGGUCUGAAUAGGUCAGCGGCCAAGCGAAAGCAUUAAGCAUCCCACCUGGGGAGUACGCCGGCAACGGUGAAACUCAAAGGAAUUGACGGGGGCCCGCACAAGCGGAGGAACAUGUGGUUUAAUUCGAUGAUACGCGAGGAACCUUACCCGGGCUUGAAUUGCAGAGGAAGGAUUUGGAGACAAUGACGCCCUUCGGGGCCUCUGUGAAGGUGCUGCAUGGUUGUCGUCAGCUCGUGCCGUGAGGUGUCGGCUUAAGUGCCAUAACGAGCGCAACCCCUCUCCUUAGUUGCCAUCAGGUCAAGCUGGGCACUCUGGGGACACUGCCACCGUAAGGUGUGAGGA
rnacentral:rRNA from 1 species